rnacentral:rRNA from 1 species
CAGGCCUAACACAUGCAAGUCGAGCGGAAACGAGUUAUCUGAACCUUCGGGGAACGAUAGCGGCGUCGAGCGGCGGACGGGUGAGUAAUGCCUAGGAAAUUGCCCUGAUGUGGGGGAUAACCAUUGGAAACGAUGGCUAAUACCGCAUGAUGCCUACGGGCCAAAGAGGGGGACCUUCGGGCCUCUCGCGUCAGGAUAUGCCUAGGUGGGAUUAGCUAGUUGGUGAGGUAAGGGCUCACCAAGGCGACGAUCCCUAGCUGGUCUGAGAGGAUGAUCAGCCACACUGGAACUGAGACACGGUCCAGACUCCUACGGGAGGCAGCAGUGGGGAAUAUUGCACAAUGGGCGC